AGAGACGAGUCAGAGUUUGAUCCUGGCUCAGGAUGAACGCUGGCGGCGUGCUUAACACAUGCAAGUCGAACGGGAAAGCGCCCUCGGGCGCGAGUACAGUGGCGAACGGGUGAGUAACACGUGACCAACCUGCCCCCCGCACCGGGAUAGCCGGGCGAAAGCCCGGGUAAUACCGGAUGACCCCGCACCGCGGCAUCGCGGCGCGGGCAAAGCCCAGACGGCGGGGGGAUGGGGUCGCGGCCCAUUAGCUAGUCGGCGGGGUAACGGCCCACCGAGGCGACGAUGGGUAGCCGGGUUGAGAGACCGACCGGCCACAUUGGGACUGAGACACGGCCCAG
rnacentral:rRNA from 1 species